CUUUCAGUAGGGAAGAAGCGAAAGUGACGGUACCUGCAGAAGAAGCACCGGCUAACUACGUGCCAGCAGCCGCGGUAAUACGUAGGGUGCGAGCGUUAUCCGGAAUUAUUGGGCGUAAAGAGCUCGUAGGCGGUUUGUCGCGUCUGUCGUGAAAGUCCGGGGCUUAACCCCGGAUCUGCGGUGGGUACGGGCAGACUAGAGUGCAGUAGGGGAGACUGGAAUUCCUGGUGUAGCGGUGGAAUGCGCAGAUAUCAGGAGGAACACCGAUGGCGAAGGCAGGUCUCUGGGCUGUAACUGACGCUGAGGAGCGAAAGCAUGGGGAGCGAACAGGAUUAGAUACCCUGGUAGUCCAUGCCGUAAACGUUGGGCACUAGGUGUGGGGACCAUUCCACGGUUUCCGCGCCGCAGCUAACGCAUUAAGUGCCCCGCCUGGGGAGUACGGCCGCAAGGCUAAAACUCAAAGGAAUUGACGGGGGCCCGCACCAGCGGCGGAGCCUGCGGAUUAAUUCGAUGCAACGCGAAGAACCUUACCAAGGCUUGACAUGUUCUCGAUCGCCGUAGAGAUACGGUUUCCCCUUUGGGGCGGGUUCACAGGUGGUGCAUGGUGGUCGUCAGCUCGUGUCGUGAGAUGUUGGGUUAAGUCCCGCAACGAGCGCAACCCUCGUUCCAUGUUGCCAGCACGUAAUGGUGGGGACUCAUGGGAGACUGCCGGGGUCAACUCGGAGGAAGGUGAGGACGACGUCAAAUCAUCAUGCCCCUUAUGUCUUGGGCUUCACGCAUGCUACAAUGGCCGGUACAAUGGGUUGCGAUACUGUGAGGUGGAGCUAAUCCCAAAAAGCCGGUUUCAGUUCGGAUUGGGGUUUGCAACUCGACCCCAUGAAGUUGGAGUCGCUAGU
rnacentral:rRNA from 1 species